rnacentral:rRNA from 1 species
UACGAAGGGGGCUAGCGUUGCUCGGAAUCACUGGGCGUAAAGCGCGCGUAGGCGGAUUGUUAAGUCAGGGGUGAAAUCCUGGAGCUCAACUCCAGAACUGCCUUUGAUACUGACGGUCUUGAGUUCGGGAGAGGUGAGUGGAACUGCGAGUGUAGAGGUGAAAUUCGUAGAUAUUCGCAAGAACACCAGUGGCGAAGGCGGCCAACUGGUCCGGUACUGACGCUGAGGUGCGAAAGCGUGGGGAGCAAACAGG